ACCUGGCUGGCUCAGUCAGUAGAGCAUGUGACUCUCAUUCUCAGGGCUGUAGGUUCAAACCCCACAUUGGGUG
rnacentral:tRNA from 1 species